rnacentral:misc_RNA from 1 species
GAAAUGCGAUAAGUAGUGUGAAUUGCAGAAUUCAGUGAAUCAUCGAAUCUUUGAACGCACAUUGCGCCCUUUGGUAUUCCAAAGGGCAUGCCUGUUCGAGCGUCAUUUGUACCCUCAAGCUUUGCUUGGUGUUGGGCGUCUUGUCUCCAGUUCGCUGGAGACUCGCCUUAAAGUAAUUGGCAGCCGGCCUACUGGUUUCGGAGCGCAGCACAAGUCGCGCUCUCUUCCAGCCAAGGUCAGCAUCCACAAAGCCUUUUUUCAACUUUCGACCUCGGAUCAGGUAGGGAUACCCGCUGAACUUAAGC